rnacentral:rRNA from 1 species
UACGGGGGGGGCAAGCGUUGUUCGGAAUUACUGGGCGUAAAGGGCUCGUAGGUGGCCAACUAAGUCAGACGUGAAAUCCCUCGGCUUAACCGGGGAACUGCGUCUGAUACUGGAUGGCUUGAGUUUGGGAGAGGGAUGCGGAAUUCCAGGUGUAGCGGUGAAAUGCGUAGAUAUCUGGAGGAACACCGGUGGCGAAGGCGGCUACCUGGACAGAGUCUGACGCUGAGGCACGAAAGCUAGGGGAGCAAACAGG